CCUACGGGGGGCAGCAGUGAGGAAUAUUGGUCAAUGGCCGGAAGGCUGAACCAGCCAUGCCGCGUGAAGGUCAGUGCCCUAUGGGCGUUAAACUUCUUUUGUGCGGGAGCAAUAAUGGUCACGUGUGGCCAGACGAGAGUACCGUACGAAUAAGCAUCGGCUAACUCCGUGCCAGCAGCCGCGGUAAUACGGGGGAUGCAAGCGUUAUCCGGAUUUAUUGGGGUUAAAGGGUGCGUAGGCUGUGAGGUAAGUCAGCGGUGAAAUGCCCCCGCUCACCGGGGUGAAGUGCCAUUGAUACUGCCUUGCUGGAAUGCGGAUGCCGUGGGAGGAAUGUGUGGUGUAGCGGUGAAAUGCAUAGAUAUCACACAGAACACCGAUUGCGAAGGCAUCUCACGAAUCCGCGAUUGACGCUGAUGCACGAAAGCGUGGGUAUCAAACAGGAUUAGAUACCCCUGUAGUC
rnacentral:rRNA from 1 species